rnacentral:rRNA from 1 species
UGGGGAAUUUUGGGCAAUGGGCGCAAGCCUGAUCCAGCCAUGCCGCGUGCGGGAAGAAGGCCUUCGGGUUGUAAACCGCUUUUGUCAGGGAAGAAACGCUCUGGGCUAAUACCCUGGGGUAAUGACGGUACCUGAAGAAUAAGCACCGGCUAACUACGUGCCAGCAGCCGCGGUAAUACGUAGGGUGCAAGCGUUAAUCGGAAUUACUGGGCGUAAAGCGUGCGCAGGCGGUUAUGCAAGACAGAUGUGAAAUCCCCGGGCUCAACCUGGGAACUGCAUUUGUGACUGUAUAGCUAGAGUACGGUAGAGGGGGAUGGAAUUCCGCGUGUAGCAGUGAAAUGCGUAGAUAUGCGGAGGAACACCGAUGGCGAAGGCAAUCCCCUGGACCUGUACUGACGCUCAUGCACGAAAGCGUGGGGAGCAAACAGGAUUAGAUACCCACGUAGUCCCUGAGCGGGCUGGCAAGGCGCAU